UACGUAGGGUGCGAGCGUUGUCCGGAAUUACUGGGCGUAAAGAGCUCGUAGGUGGUUUGUCGCGUUGUCCGUGAAAACUCACAACUCAAUUGUGGGCGUGCGGGCGAUACGGGCAGACUGGAGUACUGCAGGGGAGACUGGAAUUCCUGGUGUAGCGGUGAAAUGCGCAGAUAUCAGGAGGAACACCGGUGGCGAAGGCGGGUCUCUGGGCCGAUACUGACGCUGAGGCGCGAAAGCUAGGGGAGCGAACGGG
rnacentral:rRNA from 1 species